rnacentral:rRNA from 1 species
ACGAACGCUGGCGGCGUGCUUAACACAUGCAAGUCGAACGGUAAGGCCCCUUCGGGGGUACACGAGUGGCGAACGGGUGAGUAACACGUGGGUAAUCUGCCCUGCACUUCGGGAUAAGCCUGGGAAACCGNGUCUAAUACCGGAUAUGAACUCCUGCCGCAUGGUGGGGGUUGGAAAGUUUUUCGGUGCAGGAUGAGCCCGCGGCCUAUCAGCUUGUUGGUGGGGUAAUGGCCUACCAAGGCGACGACGGGUAGCCGGCCUGAGAGGGUGAUCGGCCACACUGGGACUGAGACACGGCCCAGACUCCUACGGGAGGCAGCAGUGGGGAAUAUUGCACAAUGGGCGAAAGCCUGAUGCAGCGACGCCGCGUGGGGGAUGACGGUCUUCGGAUUGUAAACCCCUUUCAGUAGGGACGAAGCGCAAGUGACGGUACCUGCAGAAGAAGCACCGGCUAACUACGUGCCAGCAGCCGCGGUAAUACGUAGGGUGCGAGCGUUGUCCGGAAUUACUGGGCGUAAAGAGCUCGUAGGCGGUUUGUCACGUCGUCUGUGAAAUCCCUCGGCUUAACCGGGGGCGUGCAGGCGAUACGGGCAGACUUGA